GCCGUGUGGUUCACCGGAAGCUGCCACGCGUGAUUCGCCGGGGGGAGUCCGUUCGCCGGGCGUUGCUGAGUUGUGGAGCUCGCUGGAGCGGUGAGAAUUUGGCUGAGAUGCACAGUCCGGAGAAAUUGGAUGGCGAUUAUUCUGCCACCGCGGACAGCAACGUCUCGGCUGAAUUGGAGACUUCCAUUAGUCCCAAUGGUGAUCUCCAGGAAGGAAAUGAUGGUGAAAAUAAGAACAUAGGAAACUCUAAUGCUCUAGCAAAUGGGCUCUCUUCCAUGCUUAUCAACAUCAUAAGGGAUUUCGACUCCAAAGCUGAUGAUACUCUUACAAGCCAGAGCCAGCUUUCAU
rnacentral:misc_RNA from 1 species